rnacentral:ncRNA from 1 species
GGGGACCUCAGGGGCCCUACACACAUAGACAGCCGGGCCCAUACCCGGCGCGACCCAAAGAGCGGACCUCUGGUCCGACGCAAAACGGAAGACAGAAA